GGCUGGACCACGCGGAACCGCUCACCCCUCGCUCUCUUGCAGCCCUCAUAGCCCUAUCGCCUCGCUCUCCCUCCAGAAUAGAGGGAGCUCGAUCUGGAUCUGCAGUUGCGGCGGCUUGCAGAGGAAUAGCAGCGGGGCGGCGGCUUCUGGUAGGCUGACAGCGGCAGCAGAGGCCCAGCACACCAUCCCAAUCUCUAGGUACAAACAUCAAUCCCUUCCCCUUGUAUAUUCUGCUGCUGGUCAUGAAUAUGCCCAAACGAGAGUGAUAGAGAGAGAUGGAGUGGUUCUUGUGAUGAUUCAUGGUUGUAUUUGUUUCACUUUUGUUACUUUAUGUUGGUAAAAUCAGUGGUCUGUUUUCCUAAUUUAUACAAAAAUACAUGUUGUCCAGUAUUUUUUUGCAAUAUAUAUGUUGAUGUAUGCAUCAUUCGUAGCUAUAUUUUUGAUAUUAUGCAUCACUUGUAGAUGGUCAAGAAGAUGAACAAAAGAAAAAAGAUGGUUAGGGGAGCUGCUGUUUUUGUUGCACUAGCUGCAAUGGCAGUCAUUGUUCGGGCUAUAAUAAGGAAAAGAAGACCACGCAUUACCUAUGGGCCAAUGCAUGAAAAAGAUUGAAUCAGAUUUGAUUAUCUAAACCAAAAAAUAUGGCAAAGUGAUGUGUUGUGCAAAAACAUGUUAAGGUUUGAAAGAGCUGCGUUUUUUUAAUUUGUGUCGCAUAAUGAGGGAUCGCAAGUUGCUAGAAGACAGUCCACAUCUUAGUGUGGAGCAACAAUUGGCGAUGUUUUUGCAUACAAUUGGGCAUAACCUUCGAAAUAGGGUUGUGUCAGCCAAUUUUUGUAGAUCAUACGGCACAACUAGCAUCUAUUUUAGAAAGGUUCUUCAUGCCAUAGGCGAUCUUCGUAACGAUUAUAUACGGCCACCAUCAUUGGAGACCCCCACAAAAAUUGCAGGAAAUCAUCGGUUUUGACCCAUAUUUUAAGGUAAUUUCUAAAACUAUUCGUAGGUAUGUAGGCUAUAUGAUAUGGUAUUUACUACUUGUCACUAUAUAGGAUUGUAUUGGAGCUAUCGAUGUACACAUGUGCGAGCAGGUGUUACCAAAGAUGUGGAGCAUUCUUUUCGUGGUAGGAAGGCCUUUGCAACCCAAAAUGUGAUGGCAGCGGUAGAUUUUGAUCUCCGCUUCACGUAUGUAUUGGCUGGCUGGGAAGGGUCAGCACACGAUGCCCGUUUUAGCUGAUGCGUUAACGCGUGAGAGAGGCUUACAAGUACCACCAGGUAAGAAGUUGGCUUAGAUAGAAAUUGUCCAUAUGUUCAGCGAGGGAUGAAGACACUUGCACAAUUAGGCUCAGCGAGGAGCACUAUGCAGGGAAUUGUAUGACCCACAAAGCUGAUGCCCCCUUCUUGAAUACACCAAUUGAACACUAUCAUGACAUGGCUUCCAUUUAUGGGACAAUGGGGGCCAAGGCGCAGAAUGCUAGGUUUGGCAACGAUCUUCUUUCUAUUGAUCUCGAAGACGAGGAGAAUGGUGAGGUGAACACGUCACCAAAUGUUGGUGAGUCUUGUGACCCCAAAGCACCACCCAAAAAAGAAGGCUAAGAUAAAGCACAUUGUUGAGGAUCCACUAGUUAUCACUCUCAAAGAUGGGUUCAAACUUGUGGCUGAAGCGCUUGUGAAGUCUAGUGGAGAUGAUGAUGACAUACCCGAUGACCUUUGGGACGUAAUAUCCACAUUGCCAGAUUUUGAAGAAGAGCAUCUAGCCCACUACUAUGCUCAUCUUUUGGACAACCCCAAGACUGCAAGAGCCUUCAUGAAACUUACCAAAAUCAACAAGUCUGUUUGGGUGAGUAGGUAUGCCAAGAAGAACUUCUAAAUUCGAUAUGGUUGUAUGGUUGCCAAGUAUGUGAACUUGACAUGUAUGGCUAUAGUGCACUUUGAUUGCUUUUGGAGAUUUGGUAUGUGAACUUGACAUGUGUGGUUGUCAAGUAUGUGAACUUGAGAUGUAUGGCUCUAUUGCACUCUGAUUGCUUUUGGGAAACCUAUGUUAUAUGUGUUGUUGAAACC